CGCCUGUUUAUCAAAAACAUGUCUUUUAGGUAAUUAUUCAAGGUUUGGCCUGCUCCAUGAUUAUAUUAAAUAGCCGCAGUAUUUUGACUGUGCAAAGGUAGCAUAAUCAUUAGUUUUUUAAUUGAAAGCUGGAAUGAAUGGUCGGAUGAGAAAGCUUCUGUCUCACUUUAAUUUUAUUUGAAUUUUAUUUUUAAGUCAAAAAGCUUAAAUUUUAUAAAAAGACGAGAAGACCCUAUAGAGUUUUAUAGAUUAACAAUUUAACAUUUAAAGGUUUUUAUUUUUGUUAUUUUAUAAUUUAUUUUGUUGGGGUGACAUAGAAUUAAAUUAAACUUCUUUUUAUUUAAACACUGAUUGGUGAAUAGGUGAUCCUGAUUUUUGGAUUAAAAGAAUAAAUUACCUUAGGGAUAACAGCGUAAUUCUUUUGGAGAGUUCUAAUCGAUAAAAGGGAUUGCGACCUCGAUGUUGGAUUAAAAUUAAGUUCUGGUGCAGAAGCUAGAAUUUUGAGUCUGUUCGACUCUUAAAAUUUUACGUGAUCUGAGUUCAGACCGG
rnacentral:rRNA from 1 species